AUCUGAAAAUAUUUCAAGAGUCUCCGUAGAGGUGUGUGCGUGACACGUAGCAGCCUCGCAGGUACAAAACUUGUGUUCUUCAACAAAAUACUACAGGUGCUACAGAAAAUAUACCAUGGGAGUUGGACCUACUGAUAAUGACGAAUGGUGGUGAGAAUAAAAUGGCUAUGUAUAUACGGAAAGAUAGUGGGAUAGACGAGAGCAGCGUCAGUAUUUCUAGAGUGGAUUAGAAUGAAAAUCAUUCUCAAGUGCAGACCCUAGAAUGGGAAUACAACAGAAAACAACAAUAACAAAAAUUAAAAAUAAAAGUAUGAA